UAAUUGUAGCCCCCUUGGAAUACAUUGUUGCCAGAUUUCAGCUGAUUUGAAGCGUUAUUAUAGAAAGAAUGAGAGAGAAAAUGAUGAAGAUAUUAUAUAUUUACCGAGUUAUUUAAAAUAUAUACACCCCACCACUUCACUUCUCACUUUUAACAGUUACUACCUGUUUAUGAUUUGACACCUGACAACAUUAGAUACUAGCAACGCUGUAUUCCAAGGGGGCUACAAUUAGCCGCUUCUGCAGGGACUGCGUGUUCACUGGUAUUCCCUAUCAUUCAAGAAUACUAUUUUUUUCCGCUGGGGAUCGUGCACCCAUGAUUCGGCAAAUAGCAAUAUUCAAUGAACCAAAUAGUAUGUAGUCUGUGCAAUGAACAGAAAAUAUCGGGAACAGCAGUAACAGGCGCCUCCGAUAUUUUCUUUAAUGUGACCCAUAGAAAUUCUGAACUGUUCCUUGUCCUUGAACCUUGAUCUUUUUCGACCAAUAGCAGUGCAUUUGUUGCAUCUGCCCAGUGGAGUAGUGGACGAACUACAUUUAAAUUUGUAUAGGAGCUCUUUACCUAAAUUAUUAUACCUUAAGUAUUAAAUGGCCAAUUUUCAUUUAAGCGAUAAGAUGAAUUGUAAUCAGUGAUUAGCAUGAAAAU